CAUUUCUUUCCUGGUACAGUAUAAUUCUUCAACGUAUUUAAGCCCGUAAUUUCUUAAUCUUGCCACUUAACGCGUUGGCAUUGUGCGAGACGGAUUUCUUAAUCUUGCCGAUUAACGUGUGUUGGUAUUGUGCGAGACAGAACAAAAUGUUGGUGUUGUUUUGCCUGAUAGCUUCUGCCCUACCUUUAACUCUUGUGGAAGGCACGAAGGCUUGCGUGGCAGCCGUGACAAGCCCUGGGACUGAAUGUCUGUACGAUACAGUUGUAAACGGAGGCACAGAUAGUGAGAUCCUCUAUAAACUCACCCCAUCUGUCCGGAUUUGUUGUGAAGCCCGAAGCUGCACGACCACAAAAUGUGAGUUUGAGGACUUUGGGUGUGGCAACACGUUAAUCCAGAAGAAAUUGCAGUGGGAGAAGAGUGGUGAACAUCCAUGCAUGAAAUGUUACGAGUCCCCUAGUGGUUCAGGCGCUUCGUAUAAUUAUACAGUGGAAAUAGUAACAGAGUAAACAUAAUCCCAGGAAAAUUCCAAAAUAUUAACUUUUCUUGUUUAUUAUCAAAAUAUUUUAAGUUUAGAAAUACUGCGAAAUUAUCAUACUAAGAACCAGUUUGUAAUUUACUUUUGAUGCAAAUGUUAACAAAUAUGUAUUUAAUAUGUAUUGAGAGCAAAUAUAAAUUAAUAUCUGCCUU
rnacentral:lncRNA from 1 species